GGGAAUGCAAUUUACCAAAGAAAAGAAAAUAUGAGGCAGAACGCACGCUUGCUGUUCUCUGGUGAAUUCUCUCUUCAUGAACAACAAUGUAGAGCUGUGCACACAAUAGCUGACGUUAGAUCAAACCAAGAUUUCAUCAUAACGGGACAAAAGCAUGACAAGCACAAGAGAUGCAUCUUACAGACACAAUCGACACACUUAAAGAGGCAAUAGACCCUUCAGCCAUUUUCAUCCUCUGUGUCACAAGAGAAGACAUGUUCUCCCGAGGCCUGACACAGAAGAAGUCCUCUCCGAAGAAUCCCCUCAGAGUCUCUUUCAUUGGAGAUCCUGGGAUAGAUCAAGCUGCUCUGAUGAAACAAUUCCUGACCGCUGUGUGUUUGUUCUCAGAUGAAGCACCAUUGCAUUAAUUAUGCAGUUUUAUCAAAUGUAGUCAUCAUCUUCUUAAGUAACUUCAUUGCAUUUGUUUAUUAGUACUGGAAACUUGCUUUUUUCACAGAAAUGAUGUCCGGAAUUGAGGAAAGAUUAUUUGAGGGAGAGAGCACUGGGAACAAUCUGAAGUAUUCAAUUACAGACUUUCAGAAGGACAAUUUCAGGAAGGUUUAUUAUCAUUACAGCUGGGUAAAAUAAUAUUGAUGUCUCAAUUUUAAUCGAACCAGUCUCAUCUUUACAAACUGAUUGGUAAAUCCCAAGGAUGGAUCGUCUCUUUACAGCUGAUGAAUGAACAGAACAUUAUAGCACAUCUCUCAUCCAUUAAACUACAAUAGUCUUUGUGCUUUGUUACUUUUGAUAAGAAACAAAGUCUCAGAUUUGAAUUCUGUCCAUCUUAUCUUGAAAUGUAACCAAUAAAUCUGACUGUGGUGCUCUCUAUCUAAUGCAGUGACGAUCACGCAGUGUGUCUCAGGUCAAGUGAAGGACAGCAUGCAGCACACUUGAAAGAUCACGUGUUCCUCUGUUUUUAACAACAGUUACGGGCUACAGCGCCAAAUAAACAUGAAUGAAUGCCAAAGGGUCUGUAAACAGAUACAGGACAAUUUACUGACAUGAAUCCUGUCACAUGUAAUCGCUCAAUCAGUGCUUCAGCCGUACUUCAGAGACGUCACAAACAGCUCGUCAACAAGAUGUCAUGUUUCUCAUCAAAUCCAUAUUCAGGGACCAUCAACUUGGAUAGUUGGUGAAAUAAUGGCAGUGAGCAUUACUCAGGAUGGACCUUUAUCAUGGAGUGGAUUUACAAUUUCAUUUCUUCCGGGAGAUUAAUAAAGAUGAGCUGACAUAACAGAUGCAGACCUGCUAGAUCUGAUUGACAAGGUUUUCUAAUUCAACUCAAUUCAGAUUUGUA